CCUACGGGGGGCUGCAGUCAAGAAAAUUUGGCAAUGGGCGAAAGCCUGACCAUGCGACACCGCGUGCUGGACGAAGUCCUUCGGGACGUAAACAGCUUUUAUGAGGGAAGAAGUAAUUGACAUCACCUCAUGAAUAAGGGGCUCCUAACUCUGUGCCAGCAGGAGCGGUAAUACAGAGGCCCCAAGCAUUACCCGGAAUCACUGGGCGUAAAGGGUGUGUAGGCGGUCGUAUUAGUCUUUUGUGAAAGCUCUCGGACUCAAUCCGGGAAACGCGGGAGAAACGGUACGACUGAGAGGACGUAAGAGGUACAGGGAACUCAUAGUGUAGGGGUGAAAUCCGUUGAUAUUAUGGGGAACACCAAAUGCGAAGGCACUGUACUGGUACGCUCCUGACGCUGAAACACGAAAGCGUGGGAAUCGAACGGGAUUAGAUACCCGGGUAGUC
rnacentral:rRNA from 1 species